rnacentral:lncRNA from 1 species
AGAAAUUAAUAUUUAUUUGGCUGUAAAUUUGUCAUGGCAUUUAAUGCAACAAAGAAACACAACCAACUUGUCAAUCAAAACUUGAUGACGAUUGAAUUACUGAAGGGCGAUCCAGCAGUAAUAAAGUUAUAUCAGGAGCCACUGGGUAAUCCAUAGCAGCUUAAAGUAAAUUCAGCCUGUCCAUUCACACUAACAAAAGCACUAAACUCGAGUCUGUUAUUUAUGCCAUGACGCUGGUUCUAUAAUCAUUCUUCCAAAACUGAAAAGAUAAAUGAAAAGCAGCAGAAAAAAAUAUAAUAGGAAACUGGGAGGGCGGGUAAAUCUUGUAGCUUUGGUCAAGCUCCGUGUAAGGUUUGAAUCCAAAUGACCAAACUUCACGAGGUAAAUUGCACGGACUAACAUUUCGCGGGC